UACGUAGGUGGCAAGCGUUGUCCGGAUUUACUGGGCGUAAAGAGCGCGCAGGCGGUCAGAUAAGUCGAAUGUGAAAGCCCCCGGCUCAACUGGGGAGGGUCAUUCGAUACUGUUCGACUCGAAGGCAGGAGAGGGAAGUGGAAUUCCCGGUGUAGUGGUGAAAUGCGUAGAUAUCGGGAGGAACACCUGUGGCGAAAGCGGCGCGACUGGACCAUAACUGACGCUGAUGCGCGAAAGCUAGGGGAGCAAACAGG
rnacentral:rRNA from 1 species